AGAUAAAAAAAAUACAUCUUCGAUUCAAAAACCACGUGUACAUUGAAACAAAAUCCAUUUCCCUUGAUUCAAGUAAAUUUUAUAUUGAACCGAAAUUUUUUUCCAUUAAACCAAUGUUCCAAAUUUUUGGAUCAAAGUAUUUAAUUUGAGUUUAAAGAAUUUUUUUUUUGACUCAGAAUCAAUGUGAAAAUUCAUUGAUUUAGAUGAAUUUUCUUUUGAAUCAAAGUAUUUUUUCGUCAAACAGUCGACAUCUUCAGUAGCUUCUUUUUGGUGAACGGGACGGCAAGAAGGUUUGCCGCGCAACAGCCAGACAGCACCGGAAACACAAGAUCCGGCGUAGGAAAGUCUUGGCAGCUUUAAGAGGGCAGACGAUAGUGACUCCUAGGGCAACCAUUCAUCCAACUAAUUCCUUCCGAUCCGGUCCAAGGAGAAAUCUGGCGCCGAAACCCUUCAUGAGUUGUUCGAAAGGAACUGUCGCCAACAAACAUCGUUCAAUGUACCGGUUCAAAACUUAAAUCAUAGGGAAAAUCGAUAAUGUGAAUGUGAUAAUGUAAUCUAA